UUUCAUUUGUGGAUUGCGUAACUACUACACAGCUGUUCGUAACUUCCGGUUCAACAUCUGGUGAAGGAAACGUGAAUUGGAUUGAGACAUUUUUUUUGGAAAAAAACCAGCUAACUAUAUUUGAACCAUACUGUUCGUAUAUCAUGUAGAAGAUUCCAUAUUGUAAAUACAGGACCUAUGUACCUCAUACAUGGGUCAUUUCUUAUAUUACACAAUAAAACGAAUCCAUUGAUCCUGA